GGUCUCGUCUGUAUAGAUGAUGUAACGUUCUUUACUGUUAAUGAGGAGAAAAUAGUAAGAUUGUCUACAUAAAGACCGACAUAUGCGUUCUUGAAGACUGUUGAUGACUAUUAAAAAUUAAAAGGGAGGUUGAUGAUAAUCUGUUAAUCGUUUCUAUCAUGUUGAUCAGUCCCAUUGGAAGUCCAUGGCUCAAAAGUUCUGAGAGAAUAAACUUCCGCGACAAAAUCAAAGGAUUUUUGAAGAUCUACCUGCAACGCAGGGAAUUUUAUAUUACCUUAAAUUGACGCAUCUAUUGCAUCCUUAAUUAAACGUGAAGUGUUUUUUGCUCUUUAGUGUUUCAUAAAUCCCUUUUGUGAAUUAUCACUGAUGAAUCGAAGAGUUUUUAAGAUCUUUUUAUGAUCUUUUAAUAGGAUCAGUACUCCUGGAAAAAUCAUUUUAAAAAAUAGAGCCUGGCUUAUAUAUUUUAUCAACACGUAGCCUUAAGUAUUGGAUCUAGUUUUUCUACGAACUAUUGUAAAUUUCGAAAGGUAAGCCUGGUAUUCCAGUAUAUAUUUAUGUAAUCUGAAUGAUUGAUAAAUUUGUUGUUAGUUAUGAUAAUUCAGCACAGUUCAAGACGUGUUCAUUGAGAUUUUGUAACAUUAGUUACAAAGGUAUCUGUUAUAACAAGUGUGUACUAAAUCAUGACCAGUACAGGUGACCCGUGAGGUUAAUAUGAGUGUAAAUUGAAGUGAAUCUAUCCGAUCUCUAAAACUGAUCAGUGAUCUAAAAGAUGCAUCUUAUUGUAUCAUAAUUUGCAGUAAUAAAUUGAAAAUUAAUUAUUUGAAACCUUGAAAAGUAUAUUUAUUUAUUCUAAUUCUCUUAAUUUCUUACAAAAAUUCGUUUUUUAAACCAUAUCCACCAUCCCCAAGAUGUUUUUAGAACUAGUAGAGUAAUAAUUAAUUAUCUAUUCAGAUCUAAUUU
rnacentral:lncRNA from 1 species